CCCAAACCCUUUUAGAAUGCUAGGGUUGUGGCCUUUCCGCCAAGUCAUCGGAGGAGAACCCAUUCCCCCACCUUCCCACCAUCGCUCUCCUACUCCAAACCUCUCUCCUCUCUGCUCUGGGCAUCACCCUUCUCUCGUUUGACCCCCAUUCGAUCGAUAUGAAGAGGCCGAGAUGUAUUCUUCUUCUCGAGAUCUCGAUUUCUUGUCUCCUCCUCAUUUCUUGCAUCUCCAUGAAUCCAAACAUGGCCUUUGACACUAAAAGAAGAAUAACAUCAUUAUUUGGUCUUAUAAUAGAGAGAUGGGGAGAGAGA
rnacentral:lncRNA from 1 species